AGAGUUUGAUCAUGGCUCAGAUUGAACGCUGGCGGCACGCCUAACACAUGCAAGUCGAGCGGUAGCAUGGUCUGUAGCAAUACAGAUUGAUGACGAGCGGCGGACGGGUGAGGAACACGUAGGAACCUGUCGUUUAGAGGGGGAUAACCAAGGGAAACUUUGGCUAAUACCGCGUAAUCUCGAGAGAGGAAAGCUGCCCGCAAGGGUGGCGCUAAAUGAGGGGCCUGCGUCCGAUUAGCUAGUUGGAGAGGUAAUGGCUCCCCAAGGCAAUGAUCGGUAACUGGUCUGAGAGGACGACCAGUCACACUGGGACUGAGACACGGCCCAGACUCCUACGGGAGGCAGCAGUGGGGAAUAUUGGACAAUGGGGGCAACCCUGAUCCAGCGAUGCCGCGUGGGUGAAGAAGGCCUUCGGGUUGUAAAGCCCUUUAGAUCGGGAAGAAGUUUAGCCGACGAAUAAUCGGUUAGAUUGACGGUACCGGUAGAAUAAGCACCGGCAAACUCUGUGCCAGCAGCCGCGGUAAUACAGAGGGUGCGAGCGUUAAUCGGAGUUACUGGGCGUAAAGGGCGCGUAGGCGGUAAGAUGAGUGUGAUGUGAAAGCCCCGGGCUUAACCUGGGAAGUGCAUCGCAAACUAUCUAACUAGAGUAUAUGAGAGGGUGGCGGAAUUUCCGGUGUAGCGGUGAGAUGCGUAGAGAUCGGAAGGAACGUCAAUGGCGAAGGCAGCCACCUGGCAUAAUACUGACGCUGAGGCGCGAAAGCGUGGGGAGCGAACAGGAUUAGAUACCCUGGUAGUCCACGCUGUAAACGAUGACAACUAGAUGUUGGUAGGGGAACCUAUCAGUAUCGAAGCUAACGCGAUAAGUUGUCCGCCUGGGAAGUACGGCCGCAAGGUUGAAACUCAAAUGAAUUGACGGGGGCCCGCACAAGCGGUGGAGCAUGUGGUUUAAUUCGAUGCAACGCGAAGAACCUUACCUACCCUUGACAUCCU
rnacentral:rRNA from 1 species